GGGCGAUUAGCUCAGCUGGAUAGAGCGUUGGUCUCCGGAACCAGAGGUCGCGCGUUCGAGUCGCGCAUCGCCCGCCA
rnacentral:tRNA from 1 species